CUUUUUUCUUUUUUUUUUUUAAUUUCUUUUUUUAUUUUGAGACGGAGUCUCCCUCUGUGCCCAGGCUGGAGUGCAGUGGCGCAAUGGCGCAAUCUUGGCUCUCUGCAAGCUCCGCCUCCUGCGUUCAUGCCAUUCUCCUGCCUCAGUCUCCCGAGUAGCUGGGACUACAGGCACCCACCACCACGCCCGGCUAAUUUUUUUAUAUUUUUAGUAACACGGGGUUUCACUGUGUUAGCCAGGAUGGUCUCGAUCUCCUGACCUCGUGAUCCGCCCGCCUCGGCCUCCCAAAGUGCUGGGAUUACAGGCAUGAGCCACCGCGCCCGACCGCCAUUAGGUUUCUAAACAUAGACCUCCAGAUUCCCUUGUCUGCAGAAAGCUUAAAGUCAUGUGCACACAGCAAUGGCUCAAAAUUCCCAUGAAGAGCAGCAAGAAACCAAGUUUCUCCAAAAUUCCUAUUGUAUGGCAGGUCCCACAUCUCCUCAGCAUCUCUCUUGGGUUUUGUUCCCAGUCAUUCCUCUUAUAUUUGUUUGUUUUGGAAAACCUUCAAUCAUUUGUCUCCUUUUGGAUGCAGGAGAAAUCAGAAAUGUUUCUGAUUUACCAAAGCACUCUUAGAAAAGCACAUGACAAUUUUUGUCAAUUUAUUCUUCAUAAUUAGGCCAUCUGCACUGAUGACAGAGCUUGAAUGCUUUGGAAGUCUUAAGAUUUGGAACAUUAUGAUUUCUGUUUUGUAGCUUUUCUAACAUUGCCUCCCUUCCAUGUAUUUGUUGAGAGCAAUUUUACUUCCUAAACUCCACUUCAUACUUCUCCUUGGAUAUGAAAUCAUUCCUCUUCUCAAAAGUUAAACUAAAAUGAACCUUGUGUACCCUGGUAUUCCUAAAAAGUCAAAACCAGAAUGUAAACAUUGUUUCUUUAAGAUAUGUGUCUCAGUUAUUUGUCCUCAUCUUUUAAAUUGUACUUUAUCUUAAUGUAUCUUUGAAGUUUUUCUUUUGACAGAUAAUGGAAAAUGAGAGGGAAGGAGGACGAAGGAAAAAGGAGCACAAGCCUGCAUUUACUCAGCAGAGAAGCAGCACCAAAAUAACUUCCACUAUUGUAUUCUUUUCCCCCUCCAGCAAAGGUGGUAUAGUUUCAGACUGGGAACAAUUUGUCUCCUUCUGCUUCAGAUGACUCUCUUGCUUUAACUAACAUUGUGGGUAGGGGGAGUGGACACGAUCUGUUCCAAAUGUUCUUGGGCAGAAUAACAGAGUUUAGGUUAAAUGAACCUAAGAAUGCACACAGCACCAUUCUGCAUUUACCAUAUUAAACAACAACCAAAAAAAAAAAGCAGAUAAUUUUUUAUAGCUUCACAUGCUUCUCCUCUUUGCCAGUGGUUUUCCCAGUAGCUCUCAAGCUAUUUUUAAACCCAAAAAAAAAAAUAACAAAGCACUGACACUUUUUCUGAGGACAGAUGAGCCUUUAAUCUUUCAUAACAUGCCAGUGAAUUUAGUUGGGACAUAGUUUUUGGUAUAAGUUGUCUGUGAUUUGUGUUGCUAGGUUAUAAAAAUGUCUAUGGCCCAGUCAAUUUUUCCAUUUUUUUUGGAGAAUGGAAUCCUGCAGUAGUUGGGGUAGCUAUUCUACAGCCAUUCUCCUUUCGUAGACAUUUUGUGGCCCUUAAUAUAUUGUCUUAGAUCUAGGCAACAACCCAUCUAUGGAAAAAUCUCCAUAGCAAGGGGCACCAAAUUACAAUGAUAGGCUAAAACAACCCCAGAGAGCGUGGAAACACCAACACCCUGCCCCCCAUCCCCAAACUAUAUGGCUGAUGCACAGUCCUCUGGGAAAUGAGCUGAGAAAACCACCAUAACAUGUAAUAAAUUCUCAGUGAAUGAAUGGAUAACCCAAUAUGUAACACUACAGAAGUAGUUAUAUCUGAGAAAUAUUUAAUAAAUGUACUUGUGGAGACAGCUUACCUUUUUAAAAUUCUGAACAGAUAUUUUUAUGGAGGUAAAAUACACAUAACAUAAAACUUAACAUUUCCCCCCAUUUUAAGUGUACAAUCCAGUGGUAUUAAUUACAUUCACAAUGAUGUGCAACCGUCACCACUAUCCACUUCCAGAACUUUGUAUUCUGUACCUAUUAAACAAUAACUCCCCAUUGACCCCUCUCCCCACCCGUGGUAACCUCUGUUUCUGUCUUUAUGGAUUUGCCUAUUCCAGGUACCUCAUGUAUGUGAAUAAUAUAAUAUUUGUCUUUUUGUGGCUGGCUUAUUUUAAACUGCAUAUGCUUUCCAGGUUUGCCCUUAUUAGGGCAUUAUCAGAAUUUUAUUCCCUUUUAAGGCUGAAUAAUAUUCCAUCGAAUAUUAUUGUAUAUUAAUAUAUACACCACAAUUUGUUUGUCUCGUUGUCUGCUGUGUAAAAGGGUUGUUCCACCUUUUAGCUAUUGUAAAUAAUGUUGCUAUGAACACUGGUGUACAAGUAUCUGUCUGAGUCUGUGCUUCCAGUUGUUUUGUGUAAAUCUUAGAAGUGUAAUUGCAUGAUCAUGUGGUAAUUUUAGGUUUAACUUUUUGAGGACUCUACAUAUUGUCUUCCAUAGUGGCUGUAUUAUUUACAUUCCUAGCAGCAGUGCACAGGGAUCCCAAAUUCAGGAAGAUAUUUUACUUUUUAAAUCCCACCUCUCCCUCUGUGUGUGUCAAGCAUUUAUUGAACAUGUAUAAUCAACAAGAUGUCAGAGUGAGUUAAGGACAAAUGAGGCACUGUUAAACUUGUGUUCUUUGAAUUGAAAAAAAAGGUCCUGAUAAGAGUUUGGGUAGUUCAAAAUUAAAAUCAGAUGUUCAUUGAUUUAUAUAAAAGUAUGUAUUGCUUAUCGGUUUAAGUUAUUUGCAUUAAUAGGGUAUUUUCUUUGCUUUAUUCCUGUGCAUAUUAUUUUUAGAUCCUAGCAAUAACAAAAAAUGAGUACACUAAUAAAUAUUCAUGUUGGCUACAGUCAACUCAUUGCAAAUAUUGUAACUUAUUUUAGUCUGCCCAAUAUUUAGUAAUACUAGAAGAGGCAAGAACAAGAUAGUUAUUAUAACCACUAUUAUUUUUAAAUGCUUACUAGGUGGUAAAAACUGGGUUAAGUGCUUUACAUACAUUAUCCAUGAAUUAGGAACUAUUAUGUACAUGCUAGGAAUACAGAAAGUGAGACUUGAAGACACUGGGGAAAUUCAUCCAAGGUCACAUCGCUUGGUAGAUGUGGUAGAGUUUACUCAUACCAACUCAUCCUGGUCAGAUUCAAGUUCAGAAUCCUAAUUGCCUCAUUUAUUUUGACAGUGUUUGGUAAUGGUUAAAUACACAGGAGUUUUUAUGAGAGGAAAUAUUAAGAAAUAAUUUUCAAGUUUCAUCCUAAUUUUCAAGUUUCAUCCUGACUCUUGGCAGCCAUUAACAGUGUUCCAAUUGCUUCUACACAUAGUUUGAAACAGCUGGAAUAGGAUUAUAUUGCUAUUAUUUAUCAAUUUAGAAUGUUGUUAUUAUUUACUUCUGGGAAAUCACAUACUUCCUCAGAAUAGUAUGUAUCUAUAUUUAUUGAAUAUAUGAAAGUUUCUUUCCACUUUUGAAUAUAAAGCCCAGCAGAAUUGGAACUAGAACAUUUAAUCAAUUUAAGGAAUUUCAGAAAGUUUAGCAAAAACUCAUCUAAAAAAUUUUUCUACAGAUAAACUCUUCCUUUGGCUUCCUAUUUUACUUAAAGUAAAAUCUCAAACCUAUUACCUAAAACUCAUCUGUCAGACCUCAUGGCCACAACUCCCACAUCAUUCACUCUCCUCCAGGUUUACAGGACCCUGUGGCUGUUGCUCUAACACACCAAGCAAACUCCCACAUCAGGACAUUUUCACUUGCUAUCUCCUAUUUGAAAUCCUGUGCUUCCUGGUAUUCACAUGGCUCAUUUCUUAGUUCCUUCAGGUAUCAAUCAAAUGUCACAUUCCUGACAACCCUCUAUAAAAUAACACCACAUAUCCCCUCAUCUCUAUCAGUCACCCAGUCUUCACUUUGCUUUAUUCAUCUUUAUAGUACAUUUCAUUAUGUAAUAUAUUAUAUGUUUGUGUUAGUUAUCCAUAUCCUUCCAUUAGAAAAUGAGGGUCUUGAUUUUGUUCAAUUCUAUAUUUUCUUUAUGUAGGAUGUAACUGGCUCUCAAUCAAUAUUUGUUGUUCGAAGAAAGAGAGAAGGAAGGAGGAUAUAAAUUAUUUCAUUUAUAUGCAGAGCAAGCAACAUAAAAUAUCCUUAAAUCCAGGCAAUUUGUGGUGCUAACAGAGAUCUUACUGCAGUAUUUUGAAUCCAGACUGUUGUCCUUCCUUUAGGUUUAUAGAGCACUGUUUAAUAUUUUCCAGAAAAAAAACUCAGUUUGAAAGAUAAUUUAAAUGAGAGAGAUAAGCCACUGAAUGGAAGACAAACUCAAACAGCAUGGGAAAAGAAAAACAAUGGAAAGCAACAGGUGAGGCAUAUCCAGUUGCCAAUAGUGUUCUCAUGGUCCAGCUACCUCCAUCCCAUUUAGGGAUGACGGUAGCAGUAUUAAAAGAUUUUUUCAAAGCAUUCUUUAGACUAUAGCUAUAAACUUUUAACUGGAGAACCUCUCUAGAAAUAAAAAUUUGAUGUAGAUUUCUUCUUUAUUUUCUUUCUUUCUUUCUAUUUAUUUAUAGAGACACCAUCUCACUCUAUCACCCAGGCUGGAGUGCAGUGGCGUGAUCAUAGUUCACUGUCGCCUCAAAUUCCUGGGCUCAAGUAAGCCUCCUGCCUCAGCCUUCUGACUAGCUGGGACUACAGGCAUGUGCCACCAAGCCCAAGCUAAUUUUUUUUUUUAAUAUUUUACAGAGAGGAAGUCUCACUAUCUUAGCCUAUCUGGUCUUGAACUUCUGUCCUCAAGCAAUUCUCCUGCCUCGGCCUCCCAAAGUGGAUUUCGUCUUCAAAUAUUCAUAAUGGAUACAGUUUACCAGGCACAAUCUAAGGCACAAACACAGCUUCUGGAUAUAUUAGCAUUGCCCUCCUCCCUAUACCCCAUUUAUAUCACAAAGAUGCUAAGCUCCAUGUGAGGUGAGGAAAUGUGUAAAGUGAAUGUUAUAAAUGUUAACAGCAGCAGUUCAUAAAUCACCUAUUAAAGACUGGGACACCUAAGACACUGUGUGCUCUACAACAGUGCAAAAAAAAUCUCCAGUUUCUCUUCAGACAAACGAUUUUUCUCAAGAAAGACUACAAGCACUAUUUUUUGAGUAACCACAUUAAAAAAAAACCUAACUCCUGUCUUAACCAUUCUAAUUAAGCUACAGCUAUGCUUCCAGACCAAGAACAGGUACUCGCAGGUGGAGCUGCAACUCAGCAACAGAACAUGUAAAAUUUGAAGCCAUAACUUUGAGAACUUUGUUCCCCGUAAUGUGCUCAGGCAUUUCUGUGCAGCAUGUCUUGUCACCAUGCCUGCUGCUGCUCAAUGCACAGUCACGCAAGCUGACAAAUAGGUCAACAUCCUGAAGUGUAGUCUCAAAGGUGCUCAGAAUUCUUCCAGAUGAAGUCUCGCUCUGUCACCAGGCUGGAGCAUAGUGGUGUGAUCUUGGCUAACUGCAACGUCCGCCUCCCGGGUUCAAACAAUUCUCCUGCCUCAGCCUCCCGAGUAGCUGGAACUACAGGCAUGAGCCACCAUGCCCGGAUUAUUUUUGUAUUUUUAGUAGAGACGAGGUUUCACCAUGUUGGCGAGGACACAAGGUUUUCUUAAAUGUAGAAGAAAGAAACAGGACAGUCUGAACCAGAGAGAUGGCAUUAUAAGAAUGGUUUUGCUGGCUUCGAAGAUUUCAAAAGAAACUUGAAUCAAGAAAUCCAGGAAUCUUCCAGGAGUUGUAAAAGGCAAGAAAAUGGAUUCUUUCUUGGAGCCUCCAUGAGGGAAUACAGCCCUGUCAACACCUUUAUUUUAGUCCAAUAAGACCCAUUUCAUAUUUUGACCCCUAGAACCAUAAGAUAAAUUUGUCUUGUUUGAA